rnacentral:misc_RNA from 1 species
AAUAUAAUAUACUUUAUGUGA